rnacentral:tRNA from 1 species
GAAUAAGAAGCAAAAUAUUGCAUUUAGUUUCGACCUAAAAGUUUGGCCAAGCCCUUAUUUU